GAUGUGAUGUAAUGGCAGGAAGAAGGUAUGCCUUUCUCUUUGCUGGUUCUUGAGUUUGCUGUUUGCAGCUACCAUGAACAGUGGUCCAGCCAUGCCCACCUGCCUGGGAGCCAACUGAGUGUGGACUGAAACCUCCAAAAACUGCACUAUGAUGAAUGUAACUGCCAAUGUGAAUAGCUUAACAUAUGACAAAAGUGAUUCUUGCAUCCCAGACAUACAACACUACAAGGUACACUAAAUUUUGAAGGUAGCUGAAAGAGUUGCUGGCCCAGACCGGACACUUUAACCAGGAGAAGCCUCAGCCAAAUUAAGGAGCUCCUGCCUCCCCCGCUCCUUAGAGAUUUACCUGUAACCCUAUACCCCCAUUCCUAAGAACCUGCCUCUGGCGCCAAAAGUGUGCCAAUGGGCUACCUGUGCAUCCCUAAUGCCCCUUGGGGUCCACCACAGACAGAGGCUACUUAUGGGCCUCACUCCACGUGUGUGUGAGUAUGUGUGUUCCAGAGAGAGACCGCCGGCCCCGGGGUGGAGAUGCUGUGCCCCGGAGGCCGGGGGGUCUCUCCCCGCAUUCCCGAAAUAAAGGUUACUUAUAUUUUA